AUAUGCAGCGUGUCUCGAAGCCUUCUGGAGCUGCUGGGUGAUGCAGAUGGACAGGUGGUCAGCACGUCCCUCUCUCUGUUGAAGAAGAUGCUCCAUAAAAAACAUCUCAUGAUAUCCAGCACUUCUGCCCCAAAGCUAGCUGAGGCACUCCUGCCACUCUUUGACCGUGACAACAGCCAUCUGCAGCUGCUCUCCAUUUCCCUCUUCUGCAAGGUGAUGGAAUUGGUAGUGGAAGAGGGUAAAAAGCCCCUGAAGAGAAUUGUGAGCUGGAGUCUGCUCCCACUCUUCUUGCACUGUCAUGAUGAGAACUGGGACGUGGCAGAGGGAGGUUUCCUCGGCGCCAUUUUAGAGAGCAGUGGAGGAAGCACUUGACGGAGGAUUGUCCAUUACAAGAGGGUUCUGAAGACAGAGCGGCCAUUGAAAAUUGAUGAGUGCCUG